ensembl:lncRNA
CGUCCUUUCUUAGUCAAAGAUUAUACGCCUUCUUAUUUUCCCAUUGCUGAGUCCAAAAAUAACAGUGUAUAACUGGAGGAGAGCCAGAAAACUACAACCAGACCACUGAGAGAAAGAGACCAAACAAACACACACACACUGACGCACACUCACAGUCCUUCAUUACCUGACACAUUAAAUAUUUAAAUUAUUUCUACGUAAAACAAACCAGAUUUGUACAGCACUCAUAAUGUGAGUGCUGUUUUUCUGUGCAAAACUCACUGUCACUGCUGGUGGUUUCUAUGAGAUGUCAGGGUGUUCUGAGUGGUAGGGUGUUGUCAGGGUGUUCUGAGUGGUUGCUAGGGUGUUGUCAGGGUGUUCUGGUUGGUACGGCAUUGUCAGGGUGUUCUGGAUGGUACGGCAUUGUCAGGGUGUUCUGGUUGUUAGGGCGAUGUCAGGAUGUUCUGAGUGGUUACUAGGGCAUUGUCAGGGUGUUCUGGAUGGUACGGCAUUAUCAGGGUGUUCUGGUUGGUAGGGCAUGGUCAGGGUGUUCUGAGUGGUUGCUAGGGUGUUGUCAGGGUGUUCUGGCUGGUAUGUCAUUGUCAGGGUGUUCUGGAUGGUACGGCAAUGUCAGGGUGUUCUGGUUGUUAGGGUGAUGUCAGGAUGUUCUGAGUGAUUGCUAGGGCAUUGUCAGGGUGUUCUGGUUGUUAGGGAGAUGUCAGGAUGUUCUGAGUGGUUACUAGGGCAUUGUCAGGGUGUUCUGGAUGGAAUGGCAUUAUCAGGGUGUUCUGGUUGUUAGGGCGAUGCCAGGAUGUUCUUAGUGGUUGCUAGGGCAUUGUCAGGGUGUUCUGGUUGUUUGGGCGUUGUUAGGGUGUUCUGGUUAUUAGAGGUUUGUCAGGGUGUUCUGAGUGGUUGCUAGGUUGUUGUCAGGGUGUUCUGAGUGGUUGCUAGUGCGUUGUUAGGGUGUUCUAGAUGAUACAGCGUUAUCAGGGUGUUCUGGAUCGUACAGCAUUGUCAGAGUGUUCUGGUUGUUAGGGCGUUGUCAGGGUGUUCUGAGUGAUUGGUAGUAAUGGGGGGAAUCAUUUAGAGUCUCUUGAUUCGAUUCAAAUUGAUUCUCGAAUCUGAAUAAAAUUUCUAUCUGAUAUAUACA